CAUUUUGUUUUAGACAUAAUGCUAUUGUGCACUUAACAGACUACAGUAUAAUACAGACAUAACUUUUAUGUGCACUGGGAACCCAAAAGAUUUGUGUGACUUGCUUUAUUGUGAUAUUUGCCUUGUUGCAGUGGUCUAGAACUGAACCCGAACUGUCUCCAAGGUGUGCCUGUCUACAAGCACACACUCCGUUAGUUGUCAAAGUGAUGGAUGUCCUCACAGGUCACGGGGCCUCUGGUUAAACUCGGCUGCACAUUCAUGGAAUGAGAGUGAAAAGGGCAAAUAAUGUCUUAGUGUUGUUAUGAAAACAGUUCUGACCUGACUAAGCCCCUGAAAGGAUCUCAGGGUCCCCCAUAGGGACCACACUUUAAGAACAGCUGCUCUUUGCAGAUGUUUCAUAGUAAUUUUAGAUGGUGUAGACAAAUGAUUGCUGUUGCACCUUAAAAAUGCAAUAAUAAGGACAGUAUUAUAUUUCCAAGACUUGUGUAAUUCCAGGCACAGGGAGCACAAACAGAUGUCCGUUUUGGGUUCUCUUCAUCCUGUUGGUUUGUGUAAGCCUUCACACAGUGGUUCAGACCGACGCCUAGAGCACCAAGGGCUGAGAAGAGAAGACGCCACCAGUUCUGUGGCUUUGGACAUGGAUGAGCCGUAGGCGGUUUCUGUUUCACUCACUCCCUUGGCCAGUUAACUUGCUCACCUUCCCCUGCCAGUGACCAGCAGCAGGUUACACCUCUGUUUCCUUUCCCUGGCUUCCAGAAUUCAUAGGACUUUUCAGUGGAGUAGUAAUUGCACAGAAAUGUACCCACUCCUGAGUUCAUAAUUAUUAAAUAAAUAGGUAAUUUAAUAGGUGUUUAAAAUGCCUUCUAUUUUGCAGCAAUCCUUGAUAGUUAUAUGUGGUUAUUUUGAGGAAAUUGGCUUGAAGUUCUUUGAAGGGGGUAGGAACUUAUUUUUCCGAUUUAAAAUAAUGAAACAUAGAAUCCCACUGUCUGAAAAUUCUAGCCUUCCAUCAACUUUUUAGGAAAGGAUGAGAUUUCAGUAAUGAGGGGGGCCUCCAUCUGAUUCUCACUCUACAUGUAAUGCAUACAUGUGGCCAAAGCUGUGGGGGGGGAGGGGCUGCUGUUUCGUACUGAGCUACUUUAAUUGUUUGUUUAUAUCAUUUGUGAGGAAGUCUCUCCCAUAAAUGAUUUUUUAAAGACACUUGACAUUUGAGAAGCAGUCAUCUAUGAUCUUUAUAAGUCCCUAAGUGUGUCAUUACCUUUACAGUGUAUAAUUUCCUCCAUAAAAGUCUUAGAUUCUAAGACCAGCAGAGAGCCACAGAGUCAUGUUGUGCUGUAAUAAUCAGAUCAUCCAUCAGGCUCUCUCAGGGGGUAACUUCCACUCACCAGCUUCCAGGCCAUAGGAACCAAAUUUAUGAUUCAGAGCAUUUAAAAUAUGUAUGUUGCAGAUCUUUGGGCUGUGUUAAGAACAGUUAAAACUAUAAUAUUAAAUGUGAGUCUCAGAGUUUCUCUUGCAGUGAUGAAGGAGGAGCAUUUUUAACCACAUACAUCUUCCCCACACCCCAGAUUCUUCUAAGCCCCUCCUGCUCUUCCCAGGUUAGAAGUCACUGAGGAGCACUGUUGCUAAUGGAUUAUGUGGUAGAUCCCUUGGGUGUACUGGGACAGAAGAAAGGUAGAGAAUCACUCGUAUGUGUUUUUACCCUCUCCUUUCUCUCCCUGCAGCGCACACAAAUUUGAAAGCUAAUGAAGAGGCCUUUUUUAUUUGGCAGACAAUUUGAUGUUUUUUUUCUCUUUUCAGGUAUAUGAGCUCUUUGAAAGCAGAGUGCUGUCGUUGCCAUGUUCCGAUCAUUCAGAGGUUACGAAGGCACAGUUUCUGCCUUUGAUUUGCUUAACAGUCGAGUGGAGUAGAGGCAGGUCAUUGGUUGCAGUACAGCCUCUUAAGUGUGCCAAAAGAGAUUUAUCAGCAGGUUGCAGGUGAACAUGGCUUUGAGGUAAAUCCAGCCCCUUGUUGAAAUUUAGUUUCAGCAGAUGGUUCAUGGCAUUUUAAGGAAUUUCACUAUUUUACAAAAAAAACCAAAGUUUUGUUUUGGUUCUGUUCUAGACUUAUUUUUUCUUCUUCUAGAAGAUGAGAAACAUAUUUAAACAAAGGUUCUUCAUGCUGAAUAAUUGUGAUGCAAGGUCAUCUGCCUUGUUUAAAUUAAGUGGAUUUUAAAUGUCAAAACUAAUUCUAGACCGUUUUUUCUUGGUCAAAUAAACUUUUAUUAAAACUUUA